CUAAUACCGCAUACGUCCUACGGGAGAAAGCAGGGGAUCUUCGGACCUUGCGCUAAUAGAUGAGCCUAAGUCGGAUUAGCUAGUUGGUGGGGUAAAGGCCUACCAAGGCGACGAUCUGUAGCGGGUCUGAGAGGAUGAUCCGCCACACUGGGACUGAGACACGGCCCAGACUCCUACGGGAGGCAGCAGUGGGGAAUAUUGGACAAUGGGGGGAACCCUGAUCCAGCCAUGCCGCGUGUGUGAAGAAGGCCUUAUGGUUGUAAAGCACUUUAAGCGAGGAGGAGGCUACUUUAGUUAAUACCUAGAGAUAGUGGACGUUACUCGCAGAAUAAGCACCGGCUAACUCUGUGCCAGCAGCCGCGGUAAUACAGAGGGUGCGAGCGUUAAUCGGAUUUACUGGGCGUAAAGCGUGCGUAGGCGGCUUAUUAAGUCGGAUGUGAAAUCCCCGAGCUUAACUUGGGAAUUGCAUUCGAUACUGGUGAGCUAGAGUAUGGGAGAGGAUGGUAGAAUUCCAGGUGUAGCGGUGAAAUGCGUAGAGAUCUGGAGGAAUACCGAUGGCGAAGGCAGCCAUCUGGCCUAAUACUGACGC
rnacentral:rRNA from 1 species